AGCAGCCGCGGUAAUUCCAGCUCCAAUAGCGUAUAUUAAAGUUGUUGCAGUUAAAAAGCUCGUAGUUGAAUUUCGGGAUCAGUUGAUCGGUCGUGCCUCGGUACGUACUGGUCAAAUUGAUUCCUACCUUCUGACGAACCACGAUGUCAUUAAUUUGGCGUCGUGGGAAAUCAGGACUGUUACUUUGAAAAAAUUAGAGUGCUUAAAGCAGGCUCGCGCUUGAAUACAUUAGCAUGGAAUAAUGAAAUAGGACGUUUGAUUCUAUUUUGUUGGUUUCUAGGAUCGACGUAAUGAUUAAUAGGGAUAGUUGGGGGCAUUAGUAUUCAAUUGUCAGAGGUGAAAUUCUUGGAUUUAUUGAAGACUAACUACUGCGAAAGCAUUUGCCAAGGAUGUUUUCAUUAAUCAAGAACGAAAGUUAGGGGAUCGAAGACGAUCAGAUACCGUCGUAGUCUUAACCAUAAACUAUGCCGACUAGGGAUCGGAUGAUGUUAAUUUUUUAAUGACUCAUUCGGCGCCUUACG
rnacentral:rRNA from 1 species